GGUUCGAUCCCCAUGUAGGACAAGCAUUUGUAUGUUCCAUGAAUGAUUGUCGCUAGUCUGGGACUUCGUUUGAAAAAAAUACUUAACUACUUAUACCUACCUAAAUUGGCUAAAUUGCCAAUAUAAUUGAUAGGCAACUGUCAACAGCCCCGUCCGUAACACAAUUUAAUUAUCGUUUCAAGUGCCUAAACGUUAUUCAGAUCACAGACACUUCAUUUCGACCAAUUCUCUUUCGCUUUUGUGGCGAUAUUAAUUCGCACACAAUGCUAAAACAAUUAAACGUCAAAAUUAUUCGUCAUUCAUUGGAAUGUCUUAAUUAAGUCUUAUAAUAGGAUGAAAUUAUUGAAUUUUCAGCUGUACGGUGAUCAUUUGAGUUCCAUUCAACGGUGAAAACUUAUGAGGUGUCUGAUCUGAGUGUAAAGUAGUCAUAAAAAUUAUGUUAAGUGCGAGUCUGACUUGCGGCACAGGGUUUCAUAUAAAUAGGGUAAAAAAACAAACUAUAAAACUUGCCACCCUUCAAGUUUAUUAUUAACCCAUCGCUUGAUCUAAUAGAUACGCGACCAUGUUCCUUUCUUUGCCAUUCGUGCACCGGAGCGACGGUAAUUUUUUCGAACAAUCCCACUGCCCGGGCAGGUAUCAGCCGUAGGUACUGGGCUCCACAGAGAUGAAUUCAAAGUUUUAUUGCUUCUUAUAGAAGCAACAGGAAUACACUAUCAAUGAAAUUUCGCUACUACGGGUCAUGAGUUGCAGCCUUGUGCUAGACGGACGUUGAAGGUAGUUGAGUAACAGGGUUGCGUUUAUAUCCUUUUGUACAACCACAAAAACGGACUUCCGGUUUGUGUUUGUUGACUAACACAUGUGGAGUUUCUUCUAUUAAGCUUUUGGGCAGUAGAAGUUUGUUUUUUCGACUGUAUUUUGAGUGCGUCUUAUAUAUUUGUGUGUGUCCUGUGUGUUUUGUGUUUUUGUGUGUUCAAUUUACUGGCAGCGAAAUAUCGCCUGAAAAAACUUAAAAGUUUUAAGCCCGCAGAAUACCCAUGUGUGGUCACUACGCGACACUGGCAGUAAUUGUUGCGCAAGUUAGCAGAUUGCCAAAACACUAAAAAAAAAAAAAAAAAAAAAAAAA